rnacentral:rRNA from 1 species
CAGUCGCCACGGGAAAACGUAGGUGGCAAGCGUUGUCCGGAAUUAUUGGGCGUAAAGCGCGCGCAGGCGGAUCAGUUAGUCUGUCUUAAAAGUUCGGGGCUUAACCCCGUGAGGGGAUGGAAACUUCUGAUCUAGAGUAUCGGAGAGGAAAGUGGAAUUCCUAGUGUAGCGGUGAAAUGCGUAGAUAUUAGGAAGAACACCAGUGGCGAAGGCGACUUUCUGGACGAAAACUGACGCUGAGGCGCGAAAGCCAGGGGAGCGAACGGGAUUAGAUACCCCAGUAGUCCCUGUCUCUUAUACA